AUCUUAUUAAGAGUGAUUGAGGGACAGGCCCUAUGAAAUCCAGCAACCAAAAGCAUAGCUUUAAGGUGCUAAAUCCUGCAGGUAUACCUGAGAGAUAAGAG
rnacentral:ncRNA from 1 species